AGUGGGGGAUAACGUAGCGAAAGUUACGCUAAUACCGCAUAUUCUGUGCGCAGGAAAGAGGGGGAUCUUCGGACCUCUUGCUUUCGGAGCGGCCGAUGUCAGAUUAGCUAGUUGGUGGGGUAAAGGCCUACCAAGGCGACGAUCUGUAGCGGGUCUGAGAGGAUGAUCCGCCACACUGGGACUGAGACACGGCCCAGACUCCUACGGGAGGCAGCAGUGGGGAAUUUUGGACAAUGGGCGCAAGCCUGAUCCAGCCAUGCCGCGUGAGUGAAGAAGGCCUUCGGGUUGUAAAGCUCUUUCGGCCGGGAAGAAAUCGCACCAGUUAAUACCUGGUGUGGAUGACGGUACCGGAAUAAGAAGCACCGGCUAACUACGUGCCAGCAGCCGCGGUAAUACGUAGGGUGCGAGCGUUAAUCGGAAUUACUGGGCGUAAAGCGUGCGCAGGCGGUUUUGUAAGACAGGCGUGAAAUCCCCGGGCUCAACUUGGGAACUGCGCUUGUGACUGCAAGGCUAGAGUAUGGCAGAGGGGGGUGGAAUUCCA
rnacentral:rRNA from 1 species